GUGGGGCACAGUAGUCCAUGCCUGUAGUCCCAGCUACUUGGGAGGCUGAGACAGGAGGAUCUCUUGAGCCCAGACAUUCUGGGCUGUGGUGUGCUAUGCUGAUUGGGGGUCUGCACUAAGUUGGCCAUCAAUAUGGUGACCUCCUGGGAGCAGAGUACCACCAGGUUGCUUAAUGAGAGGUGAACCAGCCCAGGUCGGAAAUAGAGCAGGUCCAAAGACUUCAGUGCAGGGCAGUAGUGGGAUCAAGCCUGUGAAUAGCCAAUGCAUUCCAGCCUGGGCAACAUAGAGAGACCCCAUCUCU
rnacentral:SRP_RNA from 1 species